UGGGGAAUUUUGCACAAUGGGCGCAAGCCUGAUGCAGCGACGCCGCGUGAGGGAUGAAGGCCUUCGGGUUGUAAACCUUUUUCGCUCAUGGUCAAGCCGCAGCUUUGGGUUGUGGUGAGGGUAGUGGGUAAAGAAGCGCCGGCUAACUACGUGCCAGCAGCCGCGGUAAUACGUAGGGCGCGGGCGUUGUCCGGAAUUAUUGGGCGUAAAGGGCUUGUAGGCGGUUGGCCGCGUCUGCCGUGAAAUCCUCUGGCUUAACUGGGGGCGUGCGGUGGGUACGGGUUGACUUAAGGGCGGUAAGGGAGACUGGAAUUCCUGGUGUAGCGAUUGAAUGCGCAGAUGUCGGGAGGAACACCGGUGGCGAAGGCGGGUCUCUGGGCCGUUAAUGACGCUGCGGAGCGAAAGCGUGGGGAGCGAACAGG
rnacentral:rRNA from 1 species